rnacentral:lncRNA from 1 species
UAAAUGAGCUAAAUACCUAAUAAAAAAUGGAAAAAAAAAAAUAAAAGUAAAAGAUAACCCCACUAAAAAAAAAAAAAAAAAAAAAAAAAAAAAGUGCUGUUUUUCUAAAUUGUGAUAGUAUCAGACACAAAUUGUUUUUUUGCAUGUAUUUUGUUGUAUUAGUAUAAUUGAUUUACUAAAGUCUACUAAGAAUAGAGCAACAAUAUGUCCCAGGGACCUGGGGCAGCCCUGUUUGUAUUUGAUGUCAUAGGGUAACUAUUAAUGUCUUAAUUAGUUAAACAAUUAAACUUAAUUUUAAUUAAGUGGCAUGAGAUGUUAAAUUAUGUCUUGAAUAUUGAUAAUGGUGCCUUCUAUUUUCCAGGUAUUUUAACAGUAGUGAUAACAAUUUACUGUACUGGGGAUUGGAUUACCCACCUCUUACGGCCUAUCAUAGCCUCUUAUGUGCAUAUGUGUGAGUUCUUCUUUUUUAAUAUACCUGAAUAUUUAUGCUCUUAGAUGCUGUGUGAUCUGACUUAUUAAAAGAGUUAUUGUUUGUAACUUCAAUUGUUUUACAAGCUUAAGGAUCACUCUCAGAAUUUGAACAUUUCUAUAGCUUGUAUACAUGCUAGAAAGAAUGCAAGGCUUACAUUUGUUUUGGAGAAGAGAUGUUACCAACUACUAAUUGGCUGCCGAGCAGUGUCUAAUAUAAGACUGCUUUCAUUUUUCUGAAGUAGCCAAAUAAAUGAAAACUGUAGGUCCAAAUAACCUUAACUGCUCUGCUUAGUUAGAAACUUGUACGAUUAGUGUCCCCCAACCCCCCACCCGCCACACCGCUCUUUUCUUUUUUAAAUGAAGUAGUUCAUAGACAAGGACUUCUGUUUUGGUGGGGACCCAGUUCACCUCUGUAGCAGUUUCUCUUAGACUUGAAGUGUGUCAGCAAAAAUUUUAGGAAAUUCUUUACUUUGUUACGAUUUAUUAUUCCAACUUUUAACUGUUUGAUGCUUUAUAAGAUGAAUGUUCAUAGUUGGAAGUAAGGCUCCUGAACUUGAUGAUGGUUAGUUAUGCUUCGUAGGAUUCAGAGCACUAGCUAUGACUGAAAAGCUUCAUUUACCGGUAAUAAUGACUGAGCUUUAAUAAAAUUCAUGAUCAUUAUGUUUAUUAAAGGCAUUGUCAUGUUACCUAAAGAGAAUGUUUUUAAAACGUGAUGUGAUGAAAUGUGACGUCAGAUUGGUUUUUAUACUAGGAUGGUGUGGGUCAGACGUCUGCACACUGCAUGGUUUUACUGGAAGAUGAGCAGGGCAGAGGCUACUGUUCUGUAUCCUCAGUGAAUUUACCUGAUUAAUACAAGGAGUAAAGCUUCAGUUUUGACCCUGUCAUCAGCAACAGAGAAUUCCUAAAGUCCUGUGUUCUCAGAUGUCCUAAUUACUAAGCCUGAGCGGAAUAAAGUGCAUGUGUAUAUGUUUGAUCUGCAGGGCAAAGUUUAUAAACCCAGACUGGGUUGCUCUCCACACAUCACGAGGCUAUGAGAGUCAGGCACACAAGCUCUUCAUGCGUGCCACAGGUAAAUCAGCAGUUGGUACUGGCUCAGAAUUUCAAUUCUUUAUAACCAUUUGGGUAAACUGAUAAAAGUACUCAAUUGAAAAAAGUCUUAGCUCUCUCUCCACCCAUCUCCUCCUUCCGCUGCCACCUUGCUGUUUUCUUUCUCAAUAAACUUCACAUGGAACUGU